UGGGGAAUUUUGGACAAUGGAGGGAACUCUGACCCAGCCAUGCCGCGUGCAGGAUGAAGGCGUUAUGCGUUGUAAACUGCCUUUAUAUAGGAAGAAAUAGUCCUUGCGAGGAAAGUUGACGGUACUAUAUGAAUAAGCACCGGCUAACUCCGUGCCAGCAGCCGCGGUAAUACGGAGGGUGCAAGCGUUGUCCGGAUUUAUUGGGUUUAAAGGGUGCGUAGGCGGUUUAUUAAGUCAGUGGUGAAAGACGGUCGCUCAACGAUUGCAGUGCCAUUGAUACUGGUAGACUUGAGUAUGAUUGAGGUAGCUGGAAUGGAUAGUGUAGCGGUGAAAUGCAUAGAUAUUAUCCAGAACACCAAUUGCGUAGGCAAGUUACUAAGUCAUAACUGACGCUGAGGCACGAAAGUGUGGGUAUCAAACAGGAUUAGAUACCCCCGUAGUCCCUGAGCGGGCUGGCAAGGCGCAU
rnacentral:rRNA from 1 species